rnacentral:rRNA from 1 species
UACAGAGGGUGCAAGCGUUAAUCGGAAUUACUGGGCGUAAAGCGUGCGUAGACGGUCAUGUAAGUCGGGUGUGAAAGCCCCGGGCUCAACCUGGGAACUGCAUUCGAGACUGCAUGGCUAGGGUGCGGAAGAGGGAAGCGGAAUUUCCGGUGUAGCGGUGAAAUGCGUAGAUAUCGGAAGGAACACCAGUGGCGAAAGCGGCUUCCUGGUCCAGCACCGACGUUCAGGCACGAAAGCGUGGGGAGCAAACAGG